AUGAUUCCAUUUUCAUUAAGACUGGUGGCAAUAGGGCAGGCCUUAACCCACAGAAGUGCUUCAGAAGGCAGCAGUUUAUAUCCUCCCAGGAUGUCAGAAGAACCUUCUAGAAACCCCAAAUGUGACCAGAAUCCAACACUAUUCUCUCAAGAUGUGCCUGUCAAAUGGAAGGUGGCUUUGUCAACAGGUUUUGAAGUAAAUGUUGAUUUAAAAACCUCAGACUUCUUGCCAGAUGGCAGUGGAGUAUCUUUCACAAGCAGCAGAGCAGAAGAGCAUCCAGGAUAUCCACGGCAAAUUGGGAAGGCAUUCUGUGCGUGUGUGUGACCCUCCAGAGCUGCAGAGGAAGACAGCACUGUAGGGCUUUGCCCCAGAGCACAACUGGUAGCAGCUUUAACAACGUUAUUCUACAGCCUCUGCCUGCAGUGCUGCUCUCUUCUUUUAGCAGUUCGCAAUAAAAUGCUUAACUUUUUGGAAAAAAAAUUGGCUCAGUGCAGAGGCUUUUAGAAAUUCCACCAUAAACAUUUGUUCCGAACAGCUUUGUCAUUGUCAUUUGAAAAGCUCAGUAGCAGGUUAUGGUAGUGAUUCUUUCCCCAGUGCUGCACUCACGAGGAAGUGGUUUUAGGUUGUUCAGGUUUUUCUGUUCUGGAUUUAUUGGGUUUGCAUGGCCAAGCUUUGGCAGGGUGGGAGCUCCAGGGGUGGCUUCUGUGGGCAGCUGCUGGAAGCUUCCUCUGUGUCCAGCAGGGCCAAUCUGGCAGCUCCAGAGAAGGACGUGCUGCUGGCCAGGCUGGUCAGUCAGAAAUGGUGGCAGCACCUCUGGGAGAGCAGAUUUGGGAAGAGAGAAAAAGGAAACUGCACAGCUGUGG
rnacentral:lncRNA from 1 species